rnacentral:rRNA from 1 species
GUAGGUGGCAAGCGUUAUCCGGAAUUAUUGGGCGUAAAGCGCGCGCAGGCGGUUUCUUAAGUCUGAUGUGAAAGCCCACGGCUCAACCGUGGAGGGUCAUUGGAAACUGGGGAACUUGAGUGCAGAAGAGAAAAGCGGAAUUCCACGUGUAGCGGUGAAAUGCGUAGAGAUGUGGAGGAACACCAGUGGCGAAGGCGGCUUUUUGGUCUGUAACUGACGCUGAGGCGCGAAAGCGUGGGGAGCAAACAGGGAUUAGAUACCCUGGUAGUCCACGCCGUAAACGAUGAGUGCUAAGUGUUAGAGGGUUUCCGCCCUUUAGUGCUGCAGCUAACGCAUUAAGCACUCCGCCUGGGGAUACGGUCGCAAGACUG